rnacentral:lncRNA from 1 species
CCUGAUUCCAAAACCAGACAAAGACACCUCAAAGAAAGAAAACUACAGACGAAUAUCUCUAAUGAACCUAGAUGCAAAAAUCCUCAAUAAAAUUCUGGUGAAUCAGAUACAAAAACAUAUCAAAAAAAUUGUGCACUAUGAUCAAGUAGGAUUCAUCCCUGGGAUGCAAGGCUGGUUCAAUAUACGGAAAUCAAUAAAUGUUAUUCACCACAUCAAUAGACUUAAAGAUAAGAACCAUAUGAUCAUCCUGAUAGACACAGAAAAAGCAUUUGACAAAGUACAGCAUCUCUUUAUGUUCAAAACACUAGAAAAACUAGGGAUAACAGGAACUUACCUCAACAUUGUAAAAGCUAUCUAUGCUAAGCCUCAGGCUAGCAUCAUUCUGAAUGGAGAAAAAUUGAAGGCAUUCCCUCUAAAAUCUGGAACAAGACAGGGAUGCC